rnacentral:rRNA from 1 species
AUUGAACGCUGGCGGCAGGCCUAACACAUGCAAGUCGAGCGGAUGAAGGGAGCUUGCUCCUGGAUUCAGCGGCGGACGGGUGAGUAAUGCCUAGGAAUCUGCCUGGUAGUGGGGGAUAACGUCCGGAAACGGGCGCUAAUACCGCAUACGUCCUGAGGGAGAAAGUGGGGGAUCUUCGGACCUCACGCUAUCAGAUGAGCCUAGGUCGGAUUAGCUAGUUGGUGGGGUAAAGGCCUACCAAGGCGACGAUCCGUAACUGGUCUGAGAGGAUGAUCAGUCACACUGGAACUGAGACACGGUCCAGACUCCUACGGGAGGCAGCAGUGGGGAAUAUUGGACAAUGGGCGAAAGCCUGAUCCAGCCAUGCCGCGUGUGUGAAGAAGGUCUUCGGAUUGUAAAGCACUGUAAGUUGGGAGGAAGGGAAGUAAGUGAAUACCUUGCUGUUUUGACGUUACCAACAGAAUAAGCACCGGCUAACUUCGUG